UCGAAUCCGGAACCGUUAGGAAUAAUUCAGGUUUUAUGCUCGGCUCUGAGCCGAAGCCGCGCAUUUAUAGGUCAGCAUGGGAUUUGAUAAUGAGUGCAUAGUUAACAUUCAAUCUCUUGCUGGAGAGUACUUUUGUCCUGUCUGUCGCCUGCUCGUAUUUCCAAAUGAAGCUUUGCAGUCGCAAUGUACCCACUUGUACUGUAAGCCGUGUUUGACAUAUGUUGUGAGCACUACAAGGGCUUGCCCAUAUGAUGGUUACUUGGUCACUGAGGCAGAUUCCAAGCCUCUGAUUGAGUCGAAUAAGGCACUUGCCGAAACUAUUGGAAAAAUACCAGUUCAUUGCCUUUAUCAUAGGAGCGGAUGCACAUGGCAAGGAACUCUGUCUGAGUGUACAUCUCAUUGUUCUGGCUGCGCUUAUGGCAAUUCUCCUGUUGUUUGCAACAGGUGUGGGAUCCAAAUAGUGCAUCGCCAAGUGCAAGAACAUGCACAAAAUUGCCCUGGUGUGCAAGGCCAGGUACAACAAGUGGCCAUUACCCAGGAUCCUUCAGCCACUAGUGCUGUUGCUUCUACAGAUCAGACCCAGGCUGCUGCUCCUGUUGGAACAACUGCUUCACAAGCUCUUCCUUCUCAAACUGCUGUCACAACUACUGCACCUGCACAUGCUUCAAAUCAGCUUACCAAUCCAGCUUCUCAAUCCCAAGCCGUAGUUCAAACAGUUGUGCAGCCAACAGCCGAGCAAUGGUAUCAGCAACAACAAUAUCAACAAUACUACCAGCAAUACCCUGGACAAGAUCCAUACCAACAACAGUAUCAAAAUUACUACCCCUAUCAACAAUCUGCUGUUCCACAAUACCAGCAGGCCUAUGGUCAGCCGCAACAUCAGUCUCAAUCACAGCCCCAGGCUCAACUUCAACCUCAGCCCCUGGCCCAACUUCAACCUCAGCCCCAGCCACAGGCCCAAAACCAAUCUCAGCCUCAACAACCACAACCUCAGGUACAUGGACUGUCUCAACCACUUUCACAUGUUCAGGCUCCUGUAGCCCCACCAUCUCAGAAUCAGGUUCAAGUUCACCAACAACCGCAGCAAUUUCAACCUUUUGUUCAGCCACAUGGUCAGACGAGUCAUCCACCAGUCCCCAGUCAAUCCCUACCUCAGCCUCAGCCUCAGCCUUAUCCUUACCCCCAAGUUCAGCCUCAUUCUGUCCAACCUCAACCCCAACAACAUAUGCAAAUGCCUCCUUAUCAGCAGCCUCUUCCUCAGAUGCAACAUUCACAGCCUCAAAUUCAACAACCUGUUCAGAAGUAUCCUGUUCCUCAAUCUCAAGUUCAUCCGCAACUGCAUCCUCACCAGCCUCCCAUGCAUCCUCACCAGCCUGUUGCUCCUAAUGUCCAACCUCAAGUGCAAAAUGCAACGUCACAUGCAGUUACAGGUCAUCAGUCUUAUCCCCAACCUCUUCCUCACCAUAAUACGCAACCAGGUGUCCCUCAACAUGCUAUGCACAUGCAUCCUCAAGCUGGGCCCCAACCCCAGGGCCAGCAUCCUGUCCAAACACAGAGUCAGUUUCCUCCCCAAAUUCCAAUGAUGCGUCCUAAUCAAUCUCAUGCUAUGUUUCCUAAUCAGCAACAGCCAGCUUUGGUGCCUUCACCUGUUCGGGGCCAAACUACCCCUCCUAUGCAACAUCAGCCAGUAUAUACUCAUAAUCAACAACCUGGCCAAAUCAACCAACGUCCUUUUUUGCAACCCAUUCAACAAAUACCUCCACAGCCCUUUUCACAACACCAAGCACCUAUGCCAUCUCAUUUACGACCCCAGGGUUCAGCUAAUUCAUUUCCCAAGCAUGCUUAUCCGCAGUCACAGGGUAAUACUGCACUAUCAAAUAGCAGUCAUCUCAGUCAAUCUCAAAAUGCUGUGGGAAGGCCUUUACUUCCUAAUCAUGCAGGACACAUACAGCCAUAUGCACAAUCUGCUAAUACAAUUCCAGUUAGACAUGGGCAAAAUGGUGCUGGCUUCCUGCCUGAAAAUCAGAAUUUGUUGAUUGGGGCCAACAAUCAAGUACAGUUGCCUUCUGAACUGCAGUCUAGACCAUCAGAACCAAUUGAAAGACACAACGUGAAUGAGCAGAAAACUGACUCUUCCUCUGGGAAACAUAGUAAGAACUUUAAAGAUUUGGACACAGUGUCUGGAUCAGCAAGUGAAUUGAAAUCUGAUAAAGUUGAAACAGAUUUUAAACCAAUUGAGGUUGGGAAUAAGCAACAUAGUGAAGAUCCACACUCUGUGAAGACUUUACUCCCAAGUGCCAAUGCAUUAGAAAAUGGUGAUUCAGUAAAUAAGAAUCAUGGUAUAGGAGAGGCUACUGAAAGCAAUUGGAAGCCUUCAAGUGGUAAUAAGUCAGGUGGUGUGGUGACUGGGGUUCAAAAUGGUAAUGAUGAACACUCUGUCCGAGGCAAUGAAUUUCAAGAUGGACCUCUACCAAAGACAGAAGCAAAAGUCCCUGAGUCCGAAAUUGAUAAAUUGCAUAAAGAUGAUACAUGUACUCCAAGACCUCAUCCUGGUGCUGGCACUCCAACACCAUCUGUCUCUCAAAGCAAUGAGGGUUUUGCACAGCUGUCUCAUCAUGCCACUUAUACUGAUCAGACUAAGCAUCAACAACCAAUGAUUAAUUUUGGGCCUGCUUCUGUCCAGAAGAGACAAUUGCCACAUUCAGCAGUUCCAAAUCAGCCCCUCUCUGAAGGGAACUCUUCAACCCUUGUUAGGAAUCAUGGACCUGCCCAUGCUUUUCAUUCGGGACAACCCUUAACAGAGAAUUUUCAGCCAACCAUGUUUAAGCAGCUGCAAGAUUCUGACAUCCAGUUCAAUACACCAGGGCGAAGCUUUCAACCUCAGUCACAUGGACCCUCAGGGCCAUAUAACCAAGUCCAUGAGCCUCCUUUCCAUUCUGGAGCAUCCAAUUUGUCUCAUAUAGGAGGGCCUCAAUUUGGUGCUCCACUUCCUGGAGAUAUGCAUGGUAGAGUGACAGCCAACUUACCACCUCAUGCUCCUGAAGGUUUUGGUUUGCAGGAUGAAAGGUUCAAACCUUUCCAUGCUCCAAAUCAACAAAACAUUGAUCGAAGAGAGUUUGAGGAUGAUCUUAAGAAAUUCCCUAGACUGCCUUUGGAUGCUGAGCCAGUUUCUAAAUUUGGAAAUUAUUCAUUAGGUCCACAUGAAGCUGGAAAGAGACCCGUUGGUUAUCAUGAUGAUGUCAUUAAGAAAUCAGGUCCUACUCUCCAUCCUGGUUAUCUUGGACCAGAUCCUGGAUAUGGGAGACAUCAUAUGGAUGGUAUGGCUCCAAGAAGUCCUGUUAAUGAAUAUUCUGAAAUGUCUUCCCGGAGAUUGGGCCCCCACUCUGGUGGUCUUGUUGGUAAGUCAGGAAUAGAUGAUUUUGAUGGCAGAGUUGCACGUCGUUUUGGUGAGUUUCGUGAUAGCCGGUUUCCUCAUUUGCCUAGCCAUUUGCAUAGAGAUGAAUUUGAUGGUUUUGGUAGCUUUCGAAUGGGUGAACAUCCAAGGAGUGGUGAUUUCAUUGGUCAUGGCGAAUUUGGUGGCCAUUUUCGUAGGGGUGAACAUUUGGGUCCACAUAAUUUUUCUAGACAUUUGCAGCUUGGGGAGGCUGUUGGUUUUGGUGCCCAUCCAGGUCAUAUGAGAGCAGUUGAACUUGGCAGUUCUCGGACUUAUGAAUCUUUCAGCAAAGGCAACAGGCCAGGUCAUCCACAACUUGGUGAGCCUGGGUUCAGGAGCAGCUUUUCGCUCUCAGGAUUUCCCAAUGAUGCUGGGUUUUUAACAGUUAAGUUUUGAUUACCCUAAUAUUCAUCUUUGUACUUGCUAUUCUUAUCAUAUGGGCAGUAGUUGAAAAAUUUUUGAAGUUGAGUUGGUGGAAUGUGGAAGUUUUGGGGGGAAUAUAGUGUUUUUUCCCCCUUGUAAAUUGACUACAAUAUCCAAGUAAUAUUUGAUUUUAAAUAUUUCUUUUGUGUAUGUUACUUUUGUGUUUUUUCAGGGAGAUAUCAGGUCAUUUGAUAAUUUGAGGAGAAGGAAAGCAUCUAGCAUGGGAUGGUGCCGGAUAUGUAAACUUGACUGUGGUACAGUUGAAGGUUUGGACUUGCAUUCUCAAACAAGAGAGCACCAGAAGAUGGCCAUGGAUAUAGUUAAAACAAUCAAACAAAAUGCAAAGAAACAGAAAUUCUAGUGAACAACACUCAGUUGAUGAGGGAAACAAGACAUGGAAUACUGGUUUUGAGGGUCGUGGGAGUAAGCAUUGACUGGUUGCAGUUUGCUGUAAUCUGGUUGCUGCCUUCAUGUUAGUGGAGAUGUUUUUUGGAAGUGAAGUACUGUGGCAGUUAAGUUUAAUGGCUUUUGAAUUUGAAAUCCAUAAUUCAUAACUGGAGUAGUUGUCUCAACCUUGGUGCUUUGCUGGCAGUUUCUAUCGUUUCAUUUUGCAUAUGUUGUUUACAUGCUAUUGAUGAUAAGUACAAUUUCUAUGGAUAACAAUCUUUUCACCAUAGUUAUCGAUCCUGGACAGUGGCAGAUAGUGGCUGACCCUAAAAACAAAUUAUUGUGGGAUAGUGUAUAGUGGGAUGACUGCUAUUUUGGAACUUUUUAUACAGACAUAUAAUCUAGAUUA